GAUGAACGCUAGCUACAGGCUUAACACAUGCAAGUCGAGGGACCGGCGCACGGGAGCGUAACGCGUAUCCAACCUUCCCAUAAGUAGGGUAUAACCCGCAGAAAUGCGGACUAAUCCCCUAUGCUUAUGGAUUGGGAUGCGUCCGAUUAGCUUUGUGGUGAGGUAAAGGCUCACCAAGGCUUCGAUCGGUAGGAGUUAGGAGAGGAAGGCCCCACACGUAGGAACGGAGACACGUACCUAACUCAUACAGGAGGCAGCAGAGAGGAAGAUUGGGCAAUGAGCGAGAGCCUUAACCAGCCAGGUAGCGUGCAGAAGGACGGCCUAUGGGGUGUAAGCUGCUUGUAUGCGGGGAUAGGUACCGAAUGAAUAAGGACCGGCUAAUUACGUGCCAGCAGCCGCGGUAAUUC
rnacentral:rRNA from 1 species